rnacentral:lncRNA from 1 species
GAGAUGUGACUAUUGGGAGCGAUUAUGUGUUGUGGAUGUAGGACCGGAUCUGCGUGCCCAAUGUGGAUGGGCUCCGAGAGAUGAUAUUAGAGGAGGCCCACAGCUCGCGGUAUUCCAUUCAUCCUGGUGCCGCGAAGAUGUACCAGGACUUGAGGCAACAUAUUGGUGGAGGAGAAUGAAAAAGGGCGUUGUGAGUUAUGUGGCUGGGUGUCUCAAUUGUUAGCAGGUCAAAAUUACUCUGUGAUCAAGUCACCAAAAUUACACCAUUUGCAUAGAAUCAAACCUCCAAACUCAUGAUUUUCAUUUCAAAGUUCAUAACAUCAAAAAUUUUUCCACUUUAGUCUGAAACCCGUCAAAUGAUGUCCGUUUUCAACCAAACUCUACCGAUAGCGCUUAACGCUCAUUUAAGACCUGUAUCCGGCGUCGGAACCAAAGUACGUGCACAGUAGCAUCA